UGGGGAAUAUUGCACAAUGGGCGCAAGCCUGAUGCAGCAAUGCCGCGUGAGUGAAGACGGCCUUAGGGUUGUAAAACUCUUUCGCUAGGGAAGAUAAUGACGGUACCUAGUAAAGAAGUCCCGGCUAACUCCGUGCCAGCAGCCGCGGUAAUACGGAGGGGACUAGCGUUGUUCGGAAUUACUGGGCGUAAAGAGUUCGUAGGCGGACUAGCAAGUUAGAGGUGAAAUCCCAGGGCUCAACCUUGGAACUGCCUUUAAAACUGCUAGUCUAGAGACCGGAAGAGGUUAGGGGAAUACCUAGUGUAGAGGUGAAAUUCGUAGAUAUUAGGUGGAACACCAGUGGCGAAGGCGCCUAACUGGUCCGGUACUGACGCUGAGGAACGAAAGCGUGGGGAGCAAACAGGAUUAGAUACCCUGGUAGUCCACGCCGUAAACGAUGAGUGCUAGAUGUUGGGAUUUUCGGAUUUCAGUGUCGCAGCUAACGCAUUAAGCACUCCG
rnacentral:rRNA from 1 species